UCUUGUUUUCCUGUCAGCGACCAGUAUCUUCUUGACAGAUUGCCCUAGGGAAAAAGAAAAGCCAACACCAAACCUGACUCUCACAGAGUUCACAUUGCCCUCAUUUACCUUUUGCAUAACAAAAGCUCAGACUAUAAUUCUGAAUAGAUGUUUUGUGUAGUUGGACCAGGUGUCUUGCUUGGAAAGAAAGUACAUUAAAAGUCAGCAAAAUGCCAAUUUGCUUUGUUUCAAAAACAUUUUGUUUCAAUCAUUGCCAAGGCCUGGGGCUAAACACUACAUUCUGUUUUAAGUGUCUCUAUUCUGCAGUCAGCAAGUUUUAAAGUUUUUCUUGUUAUUUAUCAGAGUACUUGGGCGACAGUCUCACCUAAUCCUAUUGAUCUGGAAUUGAUUUUAGAAAGGAAAACCUUAGCUGCAUAAAGUCAUGACUGUGAUAACUUGAUGCCCACAAAACAUUUCUUCCCAAUUAUGUGCCCAGUGUAAGGAAAGAUUAGAAAUAGAUGUCUGUAUUAGAAGUUUUGUUCUUUUCUUGUUGUGUCAGUUGAGUUCAUAAACCAGCACCUGCAACGUGUAAGCCAUGCAUUGUACCGUGCUAUUGUUUUAUUUAAUCAGACUUUAAACAAAUAAUGUGAUUUUAUUGCUUGCAUGCUACAUGUUAGUAAAUCACUGGUUUACUGUGGCCAUGAGGCCGUGCCUACUUGGCCAAAUAUACCAAAUAUCUUCAGAUGGAGCUUAAGCACAUGCUGAAGUGCUUUUCUGUACUGGGGCCACAGUAAGUGCCUUGUAAGUCCCUGCACCUGGAAGCACUUUCGCACAUGCCUAAUUUUAUGCACUUGAGCAGUCCAAAGGAAUUUAAUGGAACUACUCAUAUGUGUGAAGUCACUCUCAUAUAAGUCUGAGUGAUCGAGGCCUAACACUAAGCUGCUCUAUCCUGAAGUGUAGUAGGACAUCUCCAAGUAAACACAUUUUCUUCUUAAGCCUAUCGUAAGCACCACAGGGCAGUCACAGCAGACAGAACAGAGAGCCUUUAGCUCAGUAUUUUGCUUUAAAAAAUGCUAAGUAAUGGACAACUGGGGAAAAUAAAUGAGAAACACAGUGAUGGUGUGAGUAUACUUCUUGUAUCCUCUCCCUCCUCUCCAGCUCUGGCCAUCAGAGCUUUAGGGAGAUCCUGAGCUGGAGACUGCACUUGAUCCAUUGUGUAUCAUAAUUCCUGAUGGCCUUUCUUUCCCCUUAGGCCUUGGCUUCCACAGCAGCCACUAAAAGAGACUUCCGUGGCUUAAAAAAAGGUGUGGGAAAGCAGUUGUGUGGAAAGAGUGCUUCCUCUGGCACAUCCCACACCAGCCUAUGUCAGCUGGCUGUAUGGGAGGCUGCCACUAGCUCUCGAGUGAUGGCAAGCUCCUCCUCCCAUCACUUCCAACUACUGGUGUCUCUGUGCAUCCCCUUUCCAUCACACCUUUCCAACUGUCAGCAUCCCAAUUUACAGUAUUUAUUUAUUCUCUGUAUAGAUGCUUGUCCAUACCACGCUCUGUGCAUCCUUCCUGCACGUACCUGAGAUGGGGCCAAGAAGAACUUCCCAAUUAAAAUGUCUCCUGAUAAUAUUCCCUACGCUUUCUUAACAAGAGAAUAUUUUUAUUUGAUUGCUGUGAGAGCUUCCCACAAUGGCUCAAUUGAAUGUAUCUUGGCAUUUCUCACAUGAGAAAAACUGUGUGAAUGUUGCUGGCUUUAGUCUGACAGGAACGAGAGUCUCUUUGAACAGCAGCUGACUCAUCUGUAUCCUGUGACUUGUUUAAAUUUCAUGGUGAGCGUACCACGUUUAUCACUGGAGUUGUGACAAAACUUGUUACUGGUGAUGAAUGAAUAACUGAAGAAAAAUUCACAGAUUUUCUCCUAAAUCCAACAGCUAAUUUCAGUUUGACUGAGUUUCCAGGGUUGGGCAUUUUUUUUCUUAUUUGUUAACACUUUGAAGUUCUAGUUAAUGCGUUCACUGCAGAACUGAUAAUUUCAGCUAUGCACUGGUCAGUUAGUUACACAAAUCAAUAUGGCAUUAUUUCUGUUCCUAACUGGAUUAACUCUUCAACAAAUCAAAACAGCAAAUGUUACAGUCAGAGAGGUUCUAGCUAUGGCUGUGUGAGUGGCUUAAGUAAUACCCUACAUGUGAUGUUGUGCACUAUACCUUGACUGUUCCUCUACAAUUGCAUGUUUUGAAUGAGCAUAGUUUUUUGUCGUUGAAAAAAUGUAAUGUUUUUGAAAUGUCAAUAGAUACUUUGCUGUGUAUAACCUGAUCUUACCACAAUGCAAAGCAAACCUAUGAAAAGGGUCCCUAUGAUUUCUUCUGUGACUGAGUUAGGCAGUCAAUGAAUGCAGCAGUGAUGCACAAUUAAAGUAAGAAAUGAGUUGAAGCUCUUACCUGUAGUUGACCCUAGAGCUCACACCCACCCGAAGGUGAGUAAAGUAAGUGAAAUAACUUCAGCAGGGUUGGGAUUAGCCCAGGAGGAGUAGCUGCCUUCUGGUUUGGAAGAAGCUAUGGGCAGGAGCCUUAAUGUGAGAAGCAUGGUGGGUCCAAUGCCAGCAGCUUCACUGAAUGGUGCUGUCAAACACACGGCUGCUCUGCGAGUCAAAUAUCCAUUCUCAUUCACAGUCAUCACCCAGCGUUACCCUGACUAAUGCACCUCUUUAGCCAAGAGCCAGAGUUUUACUAUCACUCCAGUUUGCUCCUAAGAACCUUUCAAUUUAAAUGUAAAGUGCAAUUAUGGCAUGUUAAGUAUUGAUUGUUUAAGAACUGCUUUGUAAAGUGUAUUAAACAAAGUAGACACCUUCCAUCCAACCACCUUUAUGAAUAUGAGAAUUCAAUAUGCUAUUAUACAUUUAUUAACACAUUAAGUAUGACUUGCACAUGGCACUCUGUAUGCCCUUGAUGUUAAACCAUAUGCUAAUACUUAAUCUGACAACAAAAGUCUAAGUGAUACACGUAUUAGCUUGUUCAAUUAAACUAGAUAACUGUAAAAGCUCUUUAACCUUCAACCCUCUAAUACUUCCUGGUGGACUAGAAGAACCAUUUAAUAACAUUAACUUGACAGCUGAAUUGUGUGUGCUGAACUCCAGACCUAAUCAAUUUCCAAUCACUGCAUGGCAUUUUAUGCUGCAGGAUACUGAGAGGAAGCAAGGUAUAAGAACCAAAUGUUAAGGCUAGAGUGAAUGCACCAGAUAGGAAAACAUUUUAUCCUGGUGAGGGCAAGGGGUGAAGUCAUUAUUGCCUGUAUUAUGUAGAGUUAAAUAUAUAUACUUUUUAAAAGGAACUGAGAGAAUUGCUGAGUUGCUGUUAUUCACUACGUUGAGAGAAUCCAAUAAUGAUUCCACAGCUUUGGGAUGAGCAGAGAAUUGGCUCUGUAGUUCUACACCAAGUCUCAAAGAGGACUGGUUCCAUUCUCAGCUGGAUCUUCAGCCCAACCUCAGAUCCCAAGGGGAGGGAAGACUGGCAGUAGCUGCGGCCACAGCACAGCAUUUCCUGCAGACUGUCUUAGCUGGCUCUCAUUCAUCAGG